rnacentral:ribozyme from 1 species
GAUGUAUAACAAUGGAAUCUUUGAAAAAUACGGUGUGACUGUUUUGGGUACACCUGUCGACACCGUAAUUGCGACAGAGGAUAGAGAGCUCUUCGCGGGAAAGUUAAGAGAGAUUGACGAA